rnacentral:rRNA from 1 species
UACGAAGGGGGCUAGCGUUGCUCGGAUUGACUGGGCGUAAAGGGCGCGUAGGCGGUUCGUACAGUCAGACGUGAAAUUCCUGGGCUCAACCUGGGGGCUGCGUUUGAUACGUGCGGACUUGAGUGCGGAAGAGGGUCGUGGAAUUCCCAGUGUAGAGGUGAAAUUCGUAGAUAGUUGGGAAGAACACCGGUGGCGAAGGCGGCGACCUGGUCCGAUACUGACGCUGAGGCGCGAAAGCGUGGGGAGCAAACAGG